GUAAAGUCGAAAACGUUCGUGUGAGGGCGUUGUAUAUGAUCCGGAGGACAAUAUGGCCGAUCGAACUACGAAUGUUCAAAUACUGCGCGUUGGUAACUGCGCACUGAGACGCCGGACUAUUGUCGUUUUAGCUUGAUAAAGUCGAGAUUUUAACGAUCUCAUACUUGCGAGUGAAGAUACUAAGACUUGAUGAAAGAGAAAAAUAUCUGAUGCCAUAUGAAAGUAGCUAAGGGAGAAGAGAAAUUAGAAAUCGUAGUGAUGAGACCAACACCUAUUUACUUAUAUGAAAUAUUGUUAUUUUUUCCUAAAUGGUUAGUAACUGACGUACUUUGAUGAACAAAAUACAUAUACAAUGAUGA